rnacentral:rRNA from 1 species
GGGUUUAAAUCCGUCGGUACUGAAGCAAACGCGAUAAGUUCACCGCCUGGGGACUACGGCCGCAAGGUUAAAACUCAAAGGAAUUGACGGGGCCCCGCACAAGCAGCGGAGCGUGUGGUUUAAUUCGAUGCUACACGAAGAACCUUACCAGGGUUUGACAUGCUAGUGGUAGGAAGCCGAAAGGUGACCGACCCUUCGGGGAGCUAGCACAGGUGCUGCAUGGCUGUCGUCAGCUCGUGUCGUGAGAUGUUCGGUUAAGUCCGCUAACGAGCGCAACCCUCGCUGUGUGUUACAAGUGUCACGCAGAACUGCCGGUCUUAAGCCGGAGGAAGGUGGGGAUGACGUCAAGUCAGCAUGGCCUUUAUGUCCUGGGCUACACACACGCUACAAUGGUCAGCACAAUAGGUUGCUAAGCCGCAAGGUAGAGCCAAUCCUCAAAGUUGGCCUCAGUUCAGAUUGUAGGCUGCAACUCGCCUGCAUGAAGAUGGAGUUGCUAGUAAACGCAGGUCAGCUAUACUGCGUUGAAUACGUUCCCGGGGCUUGUACACACCGCCCGUAAGGGC